rnacentral:rRNA from 1 species
AGCAGCCGCGGUAAUUCCAGCUCCAAUAGCGUAUAUUAAAGUUGUUGCAGUUAAAAAGCUCGUAGUUGAAUUUCGAGACCGGCUUACUGGUCGUGCUAUUGUACGUACUGGUAUAAUCGGUUUCUCCUUUCUGACGAACUAUAAUGCCAUUAAUUUGGUGUUUUAGGGAAUCAGGACUGUUACUUUGAAAAAUUAGAGUGUUUAAAGCAGGCUCACGCUUGAAUACAUUAGCAUGGAAUAACGGAAUAGGACGUUUGAUUCUAUUUUGUUGGUUUCUAGGAUCGACGUAAUGAUUAAUAGGGAUAGUUGGGGGCAUUAGUAUUCAAUUGUCAGAGGUGAAAUUCUUGGAUUUAUUGAAGACUAACUACUGCGAAAGCAUUUGCCAAGGAUGUU